GACUGUCUAUGAUGAAGUUUGUUUAUAAAACAAUGGGAAUCUCUCUGAAAAAGAGUGAAAGAGGACUUUCUUUCUGACACAGCU